rnacentral:rRNA from 1 species
GGGGAAUAUUGGACAAUGGGGGAAACCCUGAUCCAGCAAUGCCGCGUGAAUGAAGAAGGCCUUAGGGUUGUAAAGUUCUUUCACCUGUGAAGAUAAUGACGGUAGCAGGAGAAGAAGCCCCGGCUAACUCCGUGCCAGCAGCCGCGGUAAGACGGAGGGGGCUAGCGUUGUUCGGAAUGACUGGGCGUAAAGGGCGCGUAGGCGGUAUAAUAAGUGAGGCGUGAAAGCCCUGGGCUUAACCCAGGAGGUGCGUUUCAUACUGUUAUGCUAGAGUGCGAGAGAGGAAAGUGGAAUUCCUAGUGUAGAGGUGAAAUUCGUAGAUAUUAGGAAGAACACCAGAGGCGAAGGCGGCUUUCUGGCUCGCAACUGACGCUGAGGCGCGAAAGCGUGGGGAGCAAACAGGA